GAUGAACGCUGGCGGCGUGCCUAAUACAUGCAAGUCGAGCGAACAGACGAGGAGCUUGCUCCUCUGACGUUAGCGGCGGACGGGUGAGUAACACGUGGAUAACCUACCUAUAAGACUGGGAUAACUUCGGGAAACCGGAGCUAAUACCGGAUAAUAUAUUGAACCGCAUUGUUCAAUAGUGAAAGACGGUUUUGCUGUCACUUAUAGAUGGAUCCGCGCCGCAUUAGCUAGUUGGUAAGGUAACGGCUUACCAAGGCAACGAUGCGUAGCUGACCUGAGAGGGUGAUCGGGCACACUGGAACUGAGACACGCUCCAUACUCCUACGGGAGGCCGCAGUAGGGAAUCUUGCGCAAUGGGCGAAAGCAUGACGCAGCAACGUCGCGUGAGUGAUGAAGUCCUUCGGAUCGUAAAACUCUGUUAUUAGGGAAGAAGAAAUGUGUAAGUAACUAUGCACGUAUUGACGGUACCUACUCAGAAAGCGACGGCUAACUACGUG
rnacentral:rRNA from 1 species